AUUUCCAAAUGUGGAAAUCUCGAUUGCAUAAUUUAUGGUAGUGGGGGACUGCGUUCGCGCUCGCCCCUG
rnacentral:snRNA from 8 species